UAUCUCUGUAGAGUCUGCAUAUCAAUAAGCGGAGGAAAAGAAACUGACAAGGAUUCCCUUAGUAACGGCGAGUGAAGCGGGAAGAGCUCAAAUUUGAAAUCUUCAAGGUUCUACCUUGACGAAUUGUAGUUUAAAGAAGUGUUUUCUGUCAGAUGAGUAGCAAAAGUUCCUUGGAAUGGGACAUCAUAGAGGGUGAGAAUCCCGUAUUUGGUUAUUCAUUCUAGCUUUGUGAUACACUUUCAAAGAGUCGGAUUGUUUGGGAAUGCAGUCCAAAAUGGGUGGUAAAUUUCAUCUAAAGCUAAAUAUUGGCGAGAGACCGAUAGCGAACAAGUACCGUGAGGGAAAGAUGAAAAGAACUUUGAAAAGAGAGUUAAACAGUACGUGAAAUUGUCAAAAGGGAAGCGUUUGACACCAGUGUUGUUUUUCCGAAAAUCAAUUACGAAUGGCUUGAUUUUGUGUUGUAUUGACCUUAUCAGCUUUCUGCACUUUUUUCGAGUCUUUCUUAAUGCACUUUUCGGUUAACAAGUCAACAUCAAUUUCUUUUGUUGUAAAAGAGUAUUCGGAAGGUGGCUUUCUUUUCGGAGAAAGUGUUUAUAGCCCUAUACUUCUACAAUCGGAGAGAUUGAGGUCUGCAGCGUAGAUCCUUCGGGGUUAGAUACACUUGUGCUAAGUUGUAGCUUUUCAUAGACAACUUGUUGACUAUGUUUAGUCAUGCGGCUUACUCGCUUAUGCUAUUUUACCUACGCUUAGGAUGUUGACUGAUAUGUAGUCGUA
rnacentral:rRNA from 1 species